CUUCACUAUUUUCUUUUUUUUUCAGAAUGUCAUUUAUAGCUCCCCGUAAUUGUUACAUACAAAGGGUAAUUUAUGGUUAAAUGUCAAACUGUGAAGCACAAGAAUACAAAAUGCAAUCAAGAUUCAUUAAUCUAUAGUAUAGGGGAUGGCAUCUAUAGGCACCAGACUCUUUGGUGAGCUAUAGACAGUGCUAGAGGUCAGCACACAGC